GCCUAAUCUUAUUUGAAAUAAAUUAGAAUGGAUCUGGAAAGCUUAUUUCUGUUGCAUAUAAAAAUAUAAAAAUAUAGUCUAUAAAUGUUUAAGAUUUUGGAGAAAAACGAUUCUUUCACAUUACUUUAUCAUGGUGUCAAAAUAUGAUGUUCUAAAUUUGAGUCUCAUCAGAUUCCUAACUUUUAUAUAAUUUACUCCUACUUAAUUCAAGUCCUCAGCAAUAAAAAAGUAUUGAACUCGGAACUGCACUAUUCUCUAGAAG
rnacentral:lncRNA from 1 species